rnacentral:tRNA from 1 species
GCGGUCGUAGCCCAAUCGGCAGAGGCACCUGGUCGAGGGCCAGGCCAGUCGGGGUUCGACUCCCCGCGACCGCA